AUGGUGAAGGGGACGUUCCUCGGCAUGUGUGUGCUGCUCGUGGCAGCUGCAGCGGCUGGCGAGGGCAAGGGGCAGAAGCAGGGUGUUCCUCUGCUAGACGCGGGGAGGCUGGAGAAGUUUGUGGACGAGCUACCGGACAUGCCAGUGCUGCAUGGGUACGGCGUGGCGGAGCGCGGCAGGCUCGUCGCCGGGGAGCUCAUCAUCGGCAUGUACGACACCAUAUGGAAAUUCCACCGCGACCUUCCGGCGAUGCGGGUCUUCGCCUACGGCGCCAGCAGGGAGACGGCCACCGUACCGGGUCCGACCAUCGUGGCCAUGAAGGGGGUGCCCACACGCGUGACAUCGCUCGCUGCCGCGGGGCUCGGCAACGGCACCGUCGUCCCCACCGUCACCCACCUUCACGGUGGCGUGCAGCAGUCCACCUCCGAUGGCAACUCCAUGGCGUGGUUCACUUCCGGCUUCGCCGCCACGGGCCCACACUUUUCCUCGCCGGCGUACGAGUACCCAAACCAGCAGCCUCCGGGGAACCUCUGGUACCAUGACCACGCCAUGGGCCUCACCCGCGUCAACAUCCUCGCCGGCCUCCUCGGCGCGUACCGGGUGUCCGACCCGGCUGCCGAGGCGCCCCUCGGCCUCCCCUCCGGCGAGGAGUUCGACCGGAACCUCGUGCUGUUCGACCGUGACUUCAGGAGCGACGGCUCGCUCUUCAUGAACGCCACGGGGAACAACCCCCAGGUGCACCCGCAGUGGCAGCCGGAGUACUUCGGCGCUGUCAUCGUCGCCAAUGGCAAGGCCUGGCCUUUCCUCCGCGUGCGGCGCCGGCGGUAUCGAUUCCGCAUCCUCAACGCCAGCAAUGCACGCUUCUUCCGUCUCUCGCUCUCUGGUGGACUCUGCUUCGUCCACGUCGGCUCCGACUCCGUGUACCUCGCCAGGCCGGUGCCCACGAAGGAGUUCCUGCUGGCGCCGUCCGAGAUCGCGGACGUCGUCGUCGACUUCGCCGGCGCCAAGGACGACGCGGCGACCGUGCGGCCCAGCGCGCCGACGCCAUACCCUGGCGACCAUGACAAGAAGGCUGAGACGCCGGAGCACGACCCGUCCGCCAUGCCGGCGGCGCUGAUGCCGUGGUACCCGAAGCCGGACGCACGGGAGGCGGUGGUGACCCGGCACAUCGCCAUGUACAAGUACGCCAAGAAGGGCACGGACGAGCCGACGCACAUGUACCUGAACGGCGUGCCUUACAUGGACCCGCUGUGGGAGGUGAUCAACCUCACCGACGACGACAACCACCCGCUGCACGGGCACCUGGCGGUCUUUGCCGUGCUGAAGCAGAGGUCGCUCCAGCGCGUCAACGAGUUGAGGGACUGCACGCAGGGGAGCGCGAGUCUUCCAGAAUCCAGAAAAAUGGCCCAAAAAACGCGCGCAUAUGCACCUUUUUCCAUGAUAUCCAUCCAUAUCAAUUGA
rnacentral:rRNA from 1 species